rnacentral:rRNA from 1 species
CCCUUAGAUGUUCUGGGCCGCACGCGCGCUACAAUGAUGAAUUCAACGAGUUUAUAACCUUGGUUGAAAAGCCUGGGUAAUCUUUUGAACUUUCGUCGUGAUGGGGCUAGACCCUUGCAAUUAUUGGUCUCCAACGAGGAAUUCCUAGUAAACGCAAGUCAUCAGCUUGCAUUGAUUACGUCCCUGCCCUUUGUACACACCGCCCGUCGCACCUACCGAUUGAAUGGUCCGGUGAAUAAUUCGGACCGAUGCAGUGCUCAGCUUCUGAACUUUGCAUUGGAAAGUUUAGUGAACCUUAUCACUUAGAGGAAGGAGAAGUCGUAACA